AUACGGAGGAUGCAAGCGUUAUCCGGAUUUAUUGGGUUUAAAGGGUGCGUAGGCGGAUGAUUAAGCGUGAGGUGAAAUGCCACUGCUCAACAGUGGAACUGCCUCGCGAACUGGUUGUCUUGAAUGCUCCUGCCGUGGGAGGAAUGUGUGGUGUAGCGGUGAAAUGCAUAGAGAUCACACAGAACACCGAUUGCGAAGGCAUCUCACGAAGGGGUGAUUGACGCUGAGGCACGAAAGCGUGGGGAUCAAACAGGAUUAGAUACCCUGGUAGUCCACGCAGUAAACGAUGAUAACUAACCGCUGGGUCGUAGUGAUUCAGUGGCCAAGCGAAAGCGAUAAGUUAUCCACCUGGGGAGUACGAGCGCAAGGUUGAAACUCAAAGGAAUUGACGGGG
rnacentral:rRNA from 1 species